AGGAAGUGCAAUCGGCGUGGGCAGGAAGUGAAAGAACGUUAUGACAGAGAUCUCGUGUUGAACGUCAAAAGUCGCCAUGUUUGAUGUGGCAAGUUCAAAAAUUUGAGAAUACGAUUUUCUAUCCUAAAACACAGUGCUACGUGAAAUUAUUAAAUGCAUCGUUGUUGUUUUGAAUUGAUUGUGCUCCAUUCAGUAUGUAGUAGUGAUAUUUUACAGACACACACACACACCAAUGCUUGAUACGGCAUUUGCUAGCAAAUGAAGCAGGAUAGUUUUAAUUGGAGAAUUUGUUUUUGGUGACGUCGCUUUGUGUAAUCUUCACUCUGCAAUUCAUAACUCCCUCUAUCUCCUCAUGGUUGUGGACUAAAUAUCAGUCUUAAAAUGAACGAGUGGGCCAACAGUACAGUAGUAGUGUUGGAGCAGUCGUGGAUGAGGGUUGAGAGGUCAGUGCUGGUGGCAGUUCUAAGCAUGGAGAUGGUGCUGGGGGUCAUUGGGAACUGUCUGGUACUACGGGUAAAAAUCCUAUAGUGUAGGGGUCGGUUUCCCUGUAGAUACUGGGUCCCCUUCGUCAAUCUGACCCCUCUCACCACAGCUGAUACUCCUGGUUAGACUGGACCUAUCCCCUGCACCUGAUUGGCGGAGAACCUGUCGCCGGUGAUGCUCUACCUGGACUGAGAGUUGAACCCCAUCAUCUACUGUGCCAAUCAGGACUUGCAGGAGGCGGGACUUGCUCUGUUCUAGACCAGUAGGAAGUUGUUAUUCUCAGAGCCUGUGCUGACAAGCAUGACAAAGUUGGAAUUGGAAAGAUUGACAACAAAAUAAA